GACGAACGCUGGCGGCGUGCUUAACACAUGCAAGUCGAACGGAAAGGCCCUGCUUUUGUGGGGUGCUCGAGUGGCGAACGGGUGAGUAACACGUGAGUAACCUGCCCUUGACUUUGGGAUAACUUCAGGAAACUGGGGCUAAUACCGGAUAGGAGCUCCUGCGGCAUGGUGGGGGUUGGAAAGUUUCGGCGGUUGGGGAUGGACUCGCGGCUUAUCAGCUUGUUGGUGGGGUAGUGGCUUACCCAGGCUUUGACGGGUAGCCGGCCUGAGAGGGUGACCGGCCACAUGGGGACUGAGAUACGGCCCAGAGUCCUACGGGAGGCAGCAGUGGGGAAUAUUGCACAAUGGGCGGAAGCCUGAGGCAGCAACGCCGCGUGCGGGAUGACGGCCUUCGGGUUGUAAACCGCUUUCGCCUGUGACGAAGCGUGAGUGACGGUAAUGGGUAAAGAAGCACCGGCUAACUACGUG
rnacentral:rRNA from 1 species